UCUACUUGUUAAUUAUAUACAAGUUGGACCUUUCUGUGCAGGUAUGACACACAUAUAUAUAUAUAUAUAUCUAUCUCUUUAAUAAUUCAUAAAUAUAUAGCCGUUCUUCACCGUCGAAGCACUGUGGGAUUUGGUUUGGAUUUUUGUGUAGGUCAAGAUUCAAGAACUUGAACUUCAUGAGGGAGGCUUUCAGGUGAAUGUUUUGACUCCAUCAAAGAACAGGUUGAUGAAUAUAUAUAUAUAUAUAUAUAUAUAUAUAUAUAAGCAUGUCCAACGGAUGAACGUUCCAUCUCUUAAAUAAUACUAUUUGAGGAAUUCUUCGGUUGAAAGGGAUUAUAUAUAUUAUAAAUAAAAUUAAUAACAAAUUGAUUGAUUUUAUAUUAUUUAUAAUAAAUUGGAAAUUAUUUAGAUAGGAAGGUGCAGAGAUGCAAACAAAGAAUGCCCACAUGUACAUCAUAUUGAUUUGAAUUUUUUUUUUCUUUUUUGUUUUGUUUUUGAAGCUCAGAUGGAAAAGAUUACAUGCACAUGUAGGUGCAAAUACGGACAGUCAUGCCACAUGUAAUUCUCAUCUCUUUCAAACUUUGCAGCUUUAUCUUGAAAUAUUUGAAGAUAUAUAUAUGGCAUUUUGUGAGUUUCGUGACGCUGCAAUUUCAUGUACAUGCAUGCCAUAAAUUCAAUUAUUCAACCGUCCACAUCAUAAUCAUGUUCCAG
rnacentral:lncRNA from 1 species